CCAACUCCUGCUCCUUACCACUACAUAUCUCCUCCGCCACCAACUUAUGUCUAUAAAUCACCACCACCUCCACCACCAACUUACCUAUACAAGUCACCGCCACCACCAGUGAAACCUCCACCAAAGCCGUAUUAUUACGUCUCCCCACCACCACCAACUUAUGUCUAUAAAUCACCACCACCUCCACCACCAACUUACCUAUACAAGUCACCGCCACCACCGGUGAAACCUCCGCCAAAGCCGUAUCAUUACGUCUCCCCACCACCACCUACUGUAUCUCCACCGCAUUAUUACUACACAUCACCACCACCACCGGUGAAACCUCCGCCAAAGCCGUAUCAUUACAUCUCCCCACCACCACCGGAGAAAUCUCCACCACCACCCUAUCCUUACAUCUCCCCGCCACCGCCGGAGAAAUCUCCACCACCACCCUAUCCUUACAUCUCCCCACCACCGCCGGAGAAAUCUCCACCACCGCCCUAUCCUUACAUCUCCCCGCCACCGCCGGAGAAAUCUCCACCACCACCCUAUCCUUACAUCUCCCCGCCACCGCCGGAGAAAUCUCCACCACCACCCUAUCCUUACAUCUCCCCGCCACCGCCGGAGAAAUCUCCACCACCACCCUAUCCUUACAUCUCCCCACCACCGCCGGAGAAAUCUCCACCACCACCUUAUCCUUACAUCUCCCCGCCACCGCCGGAGAAAUCUCCACCACCACCCUAUCCUUACAUCUCCCCGCCACCGCCGGAGAAAUCUCCACCACCACCUUAUCCUUACAUCUCCCCACCACCGCCGGAGAAAUCUCCACCACCUCCAUACCACUACACCUCACCUCCCCCACCCGAAAAAUCACCUCCUCCACCAGUCUACACUUAUGCUUCUCCCCCACCCCCAACUCACUACUGAGCUCCAACAGCUCCGCCACUUUCCACCUUCAAGAAAGUAAGUUCAUUACUAUUCAACUGGUCAUUCAUUUUAUUCCUUGGCAAAAACAAAUCAUAAACUUAACAUCCAUAUACACAAGCCUCUUAACUCUUUCUUCAUCUUGCAGAUUUCCAUUUCAACCAAAGAAUAAAGGAAGGCUUCUUGAGAAGAAGAUACAGACGUCAAAUAUCCUUGAAGGACAUUACAUUCCUCAAUAAGGUCUUCAUCAUGAAAUGCAUAGGCACAAAACUUUCUGACAUGGACCAGUUUGCUUCUACUUCUCUGGUGGCCCUCUUACACAUAAUCAUCAUCCUAGCGCCUUCAAAGUGGACAAGUGGCUAGCCUCAAAUGUUUAUUUAUUUGGACAUAGUGAGAUUAGUCAGCGAGAAUGGAGGGGGUUUUAGAGUUGUUCAUUAUAAUUUAUUACCUGUAUAGAGGAUGCAUGGCCUUCUUGUGAGAUUGAUAUUUAUAUUUAUUACUCGGGUGUUUCUUUAAUUUUCUUGUGUAUUGUGCCCUCAACAAUUGUUAGCAAUAAAAGAAUUGAUAUUUAUAUUAAUUACUCAGGUCUCUUGAUUCUUUAUUUCUCUUGCGUAUUGUGCCCUCGACAAUUGUUAGUAAUAUCUUCAACCAACUUCCCCACAAAACAACCAAAAAAGAGAAAAACAUUAGUAAUAAACUUAUAAAAGAGACAUCUUCGGAAAACACAGCUUGCUUUCUUCCUGCUUCUGGCUCUGACCGACUUUGACAUGACUAUGGAAGUGUGUGCUCAUAGAUAUUUGUUCCAUCUAUUCUGUCUCUCUAGUACACAUUUUUUGUCGCAUAUUCUGAUCAAACUAAUAUAUAAUUUGUACUAAACAAUUUAUUUGAAUUUAUUCAAACAGUUUUUUCAAAAACAUUUUUCAAAAAAUGUCAAAAUAUGUGUAACUCCCAAAGUUCAUGCAAGUUGGCACUUGGCAAAAAGAGGGGGGAUGAAGAGCGAAGACUUUUAUGGGAAUCUUUAUGAGAUCAACAUAGACACAACAGGGCCUAGUUAUCGUUUUGACAGCGGAAAAA
rnacentral:lncRNA from 1 species